GGGGGGGCCGGCCUUUACUGCUAGUCGAGCGGAGAGAGAGCUUGCUCUUCGAUUCAGCGGCGGACGGGUGAGUAAUACCUAGGAAUCUGCCUGGUAGUGGGGGACAACGUUUCGAAAGGAACGCUAAUACCGCAUACGUCCUACGGGAGAAAGCAGGGGACCUUCGGGCCUUGCGCUAUCAGAUGAGCCUAGGUCGGAUUAGCUAGUUGGUGAGGUAAUGGCUCACCAAGGCUACGAUCCGUAACUGGUCUGAGAGGAUGAUCAGUCACACUGGAACUGAGACACGGUCCAGACUCCUACGGGAGGCAGCAGUGGGGAAUAUUGGACAAUGGGCGAAAGCCUGAUCCAGCCAUGCCGCGUGUGUGAAGAAGGUCUUCGGAUUGUAAAGCACUUUAAGUUGGGAGGAAGGGCAGUAAGCGAAUACCUUGCUGUUUUGACGUUACCGACAGAAUAAGCACCGGCUAACUCUGUGCCAGCAGCCGCGGUAAUACAGAGGGUGCAAGCGUUAAUCGGAAUUACUGGGCGUAAAGCGCGCGUAGGUGGUUCGUUAAGUUGGAUGUGAAAUCCCCGGGCUCAACCUGGGAACUGCAUCCAAAACUGGCGAGCUAGAGUAUGGCAGAGGGUGGUGGAAUUUCCUGUGUAGCGGUGAAAUGCGUAGAUAUAGGAAGGAACACCAGUGGCGAAGGCGACCACCUGGGCUCAUACUGACACUGAGUGCGAAAGCGUGGGGAGCAAACAGGAUUAGAUACCCUGGUAGUCCACGCCGUAAACGAUGUCACUAGCCGUUGGAUGCUGAGAUUGUAGUGGCGCAGCUACGCAUUAAGUGACCGCCUGGGGAGUACGCCGCAGUAAACUCAAAUGAUGGACGGACCGCACAGCGUGGAGCAUUGCUGGUCGAGCAACGGAGACCUUACCUGCCUUGACUCAUGAACUCGAACUGAUUGGGUGUCUCGAACUUGAAACG
rnacentral:rRNA from 1 species